rnacentral:misc_RNA from 1 species
GACGAGGGGUCCUAGCGUUGUUCGGAAUUAUUGGGCGUAAAGCGGGUGUAGGCGGCUUUGCAAGUCAGAUGUGAAAGCCCUGGGCUCAACCCAGGAAGUGCACCUGAAACUGCUUAGCUUGAGUGUGGGAGAGGAUAGUGGAAUUCCUGGUGUAGUGGUGAAAUACGUAGAUAUCAGGAGGAACACCGGUGGCGAAGGCGGCUAUCUGGCCCAACACUGACGCUCAGACCCGAAAGCGUGGGGAGCAAACAGG